AUCCCCACAAUCUACUGCCCUUUACAAUCAGCUAUCUUUUGGAGGGUACUGCUGAUCAUGAGAGUCUGACAAAGGGAGAAAACCGACCUCUCAUGCAUGCAUGCUUCACAGAAACUACCUUGGGAAUUGUGAUUCCAUCAUACCA